rnacentral:rRNA from 1 species
CGAACCCUUCGGGGUUAGUGGCGCACGGGUGCGUAACGCGUGGGAACCUGCCUUUAGGUUCGGAAUAACUCAGAGAAAUUUGAGCUAAUACCGGAUGAUGUCUUCGGACCAAAGAUUUAUCGCCUUUAGAUGGGCCCGCGUUAGAUUAGAUAGUUGGUGGGGUAAUGGCCUACCAAGUCGACGAUCUAUAGCUGGUCUGAGAGGAUGAUCAGCCACACUGGGACUGAGACACGGCCCAGACUCCUACGGGAGGCAGCAGUGGGGAAUAUUGGACAAUGGGCGAAAGCCUGAUCCAGCAAUGCCGCGUGAGUGAUGAAGGCCUUAGGGUUGUAAAGCUCUUUUACCAGGGAUGAUAAUGACAGUACCUGGAGAAUAAGCUCCGGCUAACUCCGUGCCAGCAGCCGCGGUAAU